UACAGAGGUCUCAAGCGUUGUUCGGAUUCAUUGGGCGUAAAGGGUGCGUAGGUGGCGGGGCAAGUUUGGUGUGAAAUCCCGGGGCUCAACCCCGGAACUGCACUGAAUACUGCUUUGCUUGAGCACUGGAGAGGGAACUGGAAUUUACGGUGUAGCAGUGAAAUGCGUAGAUAUCGUAAGGAAGACCAGUGGCGAAGGCGAGUUCCUGGACAGUUGCUGACACUGAGGCACGAAGGCUAGGGGAGCAAAGCGGG
rnacentral:rRNA from 1 species